rnacentral:lncRNA from 1 species
ACUGCGUCGUGCAAAAUAAUACAAAACGGCCGUCACAGUUAAAGGGAUAUCACCAAUACUAUUAUCAAAAUUACCAUAAAAAAUAUGUAUUGAGCACCACAAUGACUGUGUUUACAAUUCAUCGUUGGCAAAAAUUAUAAUUAUUGUCUAGUUAAAAUAACAAAAAUGUGUAAACAUGGACAAAAAUCUUAAAAUAGCACGUUCGUAUUUAGUUGAAUUUUGAUAGUAAACUGUUACAUUUUUUCACAAACUUUAAUGCAUAUCAAUCUAUAAUAAUCAUACUACAAUUUGUCGUUUUGAAAUUUUCGAAAAUGUAGCUUGGUUAUUUUAGACAUUAUUUUGUUUAAAAUUGGGCCGCUGCGCGCCCUGUUUUGAAUCAUACGCAACGUACACCGGCCGAAAGUUCAGUCGUCCACGAGAGCUCGGAGAGUGGUCACGUCUCAUCGGGAAGCGACGCGCCGAUAACGAUACUUCGCGAUCUAUUGUGUACUUAUACCUUGCCAAACGCAAACGCAAACUGUUGAAUAAGUAAAAUGGGAAAGCUUAAGAAAAAAAAUUAUAAGAAGAAAGUUGGCGCUAAUUUACGAAAAAAAAAAUGUUCUCGGAAAAAGAGCAAGUCCGGAUGGUAUUGUAGAAGAGGACAAAAUUGUGGAAAUUAACUGUCCUUAUUCAGCCAGAGACAUGAGUGUUGACGAUGGCAUAAGAGAAAAGAAAAUUAUUUUUUGGAAAAGAGACAAGGAAGGUAAUAUCAAUCUAAAUAAAAAUCAUGAUUGGUACUUCCAAGCACAAGGACAACUUCACAUUACACAAAGAAAAACAUGUAUAUUUGCCGUUUGGACUGAAGUAGACAUGAAGGUUGCACUAAUUGAGGAAGAUAAAGAAUUUUGGUGUAAAAUUCUUCCAUUAUGCACCAAAAUUCGUAAGUUAAGUUCAGUCUUCAGUCCGAGAUGCAAAUGUGCAUUUUUUUUGUAUAACCUAUCUUUGUGGUUGGAAAUAACUAUUAUAUUUUUUGAAUGAGGUUGAUACAUUCUUGUGUCUUUUACAGUUUCUUUUUAUGUAUUCUCACACAAAUUUUGGUCAGCUGAUGACAAAUUUGGAAAAUCAACAUUAUUUUUUCUGAAAUUUAUUAAUGCCUUUGAUUUCUCAAUUUUUAUUAAAAAAAACUACAACUCUUCGUUACAACCUGCAUAAUAAAUUAACCACGUUUCUGCGCUUUAAGUAUGUUUUUGUAAAAUUCUUAUCAAGUUGUUUUACGUCAGGUUAAAUUAAAGAUUUUUUUAUUACA